CGGGGGAUCCGUGGCUCGCAGGGAUUCCUGCGGGAGCAUGAAUAUGCAUAUGAAUAUGGAUAUGCAUAUGAAUAUGGAUAUGCACUGAUACCGAUCCAGCAAGAAGCGUGGAGCAGCGGAUCAGCGCUCUUUCUGCCUCAGUCAGCAUCCAGCUCUGUUGGGAGAGAGCGGUGAUUCAGCCACUGCGCUGAUCUCAGGGAGCAAGGCCCUCCUCUUGGGCAGUGAAUUGGGAGCAGUGAACUCUGGAGCUUUAUGGAGAGGUUUGAUGCUGCUGCUUUGUGGGGUGAGUUGUCAGACACAUGAAACGUGACAGCUGUGCACUUGUACCUCAAGUGUACAACCACAAUAAAUCAAACACAGUGCAAUUCUGCAUCUGCCUGCCAUGGUUUCUCUGGCUGGUUUUUUUUUCCCUCUUACUCCUCCUGAACAAAUUGGACUUUUUGUAUCCCUACCAGCCUUGGAAGCUUAAUAUUUCUCUCUCAUUUUUAACAAAGGUGUGCCAGUUGUGGAUUCCAAUAGUUAUUGUAUGUCUUACAAGUAAAAGAUACAAGCUCCAACAAUCCUUUGGCAUCUUAGGGUCUGAAGUGAGUCUUUGUGAUUCAUGCUUCACAGCUCUACAGAUUAUGUUUUUUUCUUUAUGUUACGGUAACAUAUAAUUUUGCAGAUGCUUUAAGCAGAGAGUAUUAAAAACAGUAUUACCAGGGUAAGCUUCUCUUCCACCCAAAUGAGUAACCUCACAAAGUUAUCUCACUGCCUAGUCAUUACUGACAUUUGGAAGCAACAAGGUUUUAAUUAAAAGUUCUGUGGAUGAUGCAUAAAUUUCCAAAAUUCAUUUUGAUUUCCAUUUAAUUAGCUAUGUAAAAUUAAUAAGUAGGGACAAUAGAGGUGCAAGUCAAUGACAGAAUAAAGUACCAUAAUACCUUUUCAGACAUAAAAUACUAGGUUAAAACAAGACAGUAAGUUCUAUGGACAAUUCAAAUACUAAUUCUGUCUACUGUCAUCUUUUCUCCACUUGUAGUCUCUUCAAUGAAAAUAAAUGAUGUAGAAUUUAUCCCAGUUGCCACAGCAGGUGUAGCUGGCAAUUGUUUUAUUUAAGGUGGGUUUUUUUCAAGACUUCUCAAGAUCCUUGCUCUUCUUUUUUCCUACUAUAAAUGUUAAAGAACUGCUUUUUAUUAGGCAUUUGAUUACAAGAAACAGUCCUGGAAACUCAGCAGUAGAGAUUGAUAUAAAAAGUUUCAACUUCUUUUCUCCUUUUCAUGGUAUUUAUUCUAUAUAUACAUACUUUCCCUGCUAAUACAGAAUUCUUGUGUAAAUGCAUUUGGUGAGAUUAAUGAGAAACUGACCUAAAACCAGGGAAUUGGAAGGCAUUUAAAAAUAAGAAGAAAAAAUUAGAGUGAUGCAGACCUGUUAUUUGGAGUAGGCAGUUUAUUGGAUGCAAAGGUUUUGACUUCCAAGGAGUCUAAAAAUCUAAGCAGUGAGUUUGCCUCAUAAACUCCUACAGCUAGUGCUUGAAGUCUGGUAACUCAUUGUUCAGUUUGGAAGAGCAGGAGAUGUAGUUUUCAAGUAGUAGCCACAGAAGAUUGCAAGGUUUGAGGGAGGAUUCAGAAUUUGGUAAGAUUGGUUAAAAUAACUAAAGACUAAGGCAACAGUCUGAUACCUAGUUGCAGUAAAGUUUUGUGGAAUUUUUUUUCCUUUGUGAAAACUGAGCAGAGCUCUUUUGCAGUGUAACACAACUAAUCCUGUCUUUUCUUAGUAGGACUUAAAUGUAUUUGUGUUUUUCCAUCGUGGCAACUCCCUGCUCUCUUGAUACCAUGUUUGGACCUGGGAGCCUUCAGUGCAACAGCUAUUUGCAGUCCUGAAGAAAGCAGGUUGCUGUCUACUCCUCCAGGCGUGUCCAGAGCGCUUGGCCAUGAUUCCAGUCUGGGAAAUGCCUUGAGAGAUCUUCAUCUCAGCUGUGUUAGCUAAGCAAGGUGAAGCAGGUGAAGUACAGGGUUUCCAUGAGGAAGGCAGUGAUUAGUUCUGGAUUCUGCUCUCCAGUCUGCAAAAUCCCUGAUACUGCAAGUGAGUGCGUGACCUGCCUGUCUGGGUGGAAGUGGUGCACUUGGUCUGAAAAGUCAUUCGACAGAAAGUGAUGCAGCUGCAGAGGCUGCCUCUGACACCUCUGCUACUGAUGCAGGAAGUUAGCUUUGAACAUUUCUGAAGGAGAAAUGAACCAUCACUUGUUCUAAAUAAUUGGUCACUCUUGUCCAACUCUGUAACUCUUGAAUAGGAAAAAAUAGGUACAAUAUUUUUAUCAUGUACCGCUUGUGAGACGAUGUUCCAAAGAAAGAUGUGCUGCUCUCCUUUCAAACAUGAAUAUUCUCUGUGGAAGCCUCCUGCUACCUGGGGUGCAGGUCUGCUUUGAAAGUUACACUGCUGGGCACUAAAGGGAACUGAGCAAAGUUCGCUCUUUGUGUUUCAGGUUCUUUUGUCUCCAACAGGAAAGGCUGUAACUGGAAUAUAAAUAAAACCAUUUUUUCCCCUGAAAUGAAAUGUAGACAGCUUUGGCUAUCUGGCAGUAAUUCACUUUCUGAGUUUCCACCUGUAAGUGAUCUAACUCUUAACUGUUAAACAAGAACCUUUCUAUUCAACAGAAAUACACCUUAUAUUCAUGAUUUCUUAACUGGCACUUAGAAUACUUGUGACAUUUGGGUUUUUUUUUUCCUUCUAAUUACAGGUUCUAAAAUUACACCUAUGAACAAGAGUGAGUGUACUGUUGUUUUCUAAAAUGAGGUAAUUUUUUCUCGUUUUGGCUUUGAGUACAGCUCCACAAACAGUUGCAUCAGCACUACUGAUGAGUAAACUAGCAAAAUGGUAGAAACAAUUGCAUGAGAAAGGACAGGAAUUACUUGGGCUUUGCUACUGGAAAAGAUUGUAAUGUAGAACCAUUUAUCAUGUUAAACUGCAGUAAUUUAUUUAAAUGUAUCUAAAAAUUAUUCAUAGUUUCUGCAUGAUAUUUUCAUAGAAGUGAUGUGUAAGAACAGAUACCUUACAUAAGUAAAUUGAUUUUUUUUUUUUUUUUGCUGGAAGCAAUCAUUUAUUUGUAUGUGCUUAUGGUGUUUUUAGAAACACUUUGAGAAGUGGUAUGCUUUUUGAUUAGACAAAAUCUGAAGAUUUCUAAGUGUGUUCUUCUUUAGUAUUAGAAAUGCAAACUGCAUCUGGAAGACUCUAGAAGAGCAGUAACAUCCUAAAUGUUGUAAUAAGUUCUGUGGUCAUGAAAGAAAGGUAUUUUUAAAUUAAUCAGUGGAGUAGACCAUUUGGAAUCAACUGGAGACAAGCUGCUGGCUGAUCUCACUUGAAGGAAAAAUUAGGAUGUUAUCAGAGCCAGUCUGUGGCAAGAUUUGUCCCUUUAGACAGCUGCUAAUUUCAAUUGCUUUGGGUGAAGUGCAGUUACACUUUCUUAUGAGUCAUUAGAAUUAAAGGAAUGUAAUCUUAGAAGUCCUGAUUUGUAUUUGCAAUCAAUAACAGCUGUAAUAUUUAUGUUAACAUUACAGUUAAUGCUGUGCUUCCUGGUAUAAGAGCACUUCUCAUAUGUAUUUGAGUCUCUUUUGUUUAGAAACAAAAAAUCAGCACUUGCAAACACUUAAACAAUGCUUGUGCUAGAUUCCAAAAAAGUGGAACCAAAUUCCCAAAAUAAUAAGACUUAUUCCAUAUUAAAAACUUUUUAAAAUUUUUAUUUUUUCCCAUUCCCAUUUGCUUUUCUUUACACUUUAAUUUUCAGUCAUAGACAGCAAAGUGGUUGUGAGUUUACAGCAGCUCAAUAAAUGAGGUAUCCUUCACUCCUACAUUUCCCUCUUGUUGGCAAUGUCAAGUUUUCUGAAAAUAGUUGUUGGAAGUAGGAGAGUAGGUUGUUUUUAGAAAUUUAUUUUGGUCUAAAUUCCAUGUAUUAAUUUAGUAUCAAAGUAGCAAUUUGUAAGGAGAAUAUUUUUCUCUUACAGGCAUGAGCCACACUGCCAGCCAAUGUUUCUUUAACCUGCUACAUCUGAGAGUGUGUCUGAGGGCUGGUGCGUGUGGCUUUGAUGACACAAGGUGUUGUAACCAUUUGGGUGCAUUCUGGGUGUGCUUUUAUGAAGCAGAAACUUUUGUAGUAGACAGCACUGAAAUUGCACCAUGCAACUUGUAAUUACUGGGUAGAGUGUUCAGGAAGCAAUCCCUGUAACAUAAUGUAAAAUAAUGCUCUUCUAUCUGUUCAAAAGUCCAGGAGAGUGCUGUUUCACUCCUUAAAAAUACUGAGUGGCCUGGAGGUCACUUGGGUGCCUCAGGCCACUUGGCGCAUAAAAAUAAAGCCUUUUUUAAAAACACACCUAAAAAUAGAUUUGAAGUCUAUUUUUAAUCUGGAAAUCUGCUUUCUGAUCUGUAAUGUUAAAUGAAACUUGCAGGACACUUGGGGUUAGGAUGUAGGAUUCUCUACCUAUUCACUGCUGCUUUUUGACUGGGGUUUUCCUGAGCUUUCCAUGAAAGCAUCUGUAAGGAGGAUGAAGAGAAAUGCACAUUGGUUUAGCCUUUCCUGGGUUCCUGCUGUCAGAAAAUGUGACCACUGCUUGUGCAGGGAGAUAGAUGAGACCAAGCUACCAGCUUGUGUUGGGUGCACAGCUUUUCCUUUCUCUGAAACCCGGGCAGCUGUGGGGCUGCUGCUGCUGCCACAGCUCUGGGUUUGAGUGCCCAGCCCUCAGCACUCUUAGGCUUGAGGAAAGGGCAUCUCAUUCUUCUGUGUUCUCUCCCUUGCCUCCUUAUGAGCAUGCAAAAUGCAGCAGAACUGACACCCUUCUCCGCAAGGAAAUGCUACUCAGUUGAAAGUGAGGACAAUUUUCUGAGCUGUUUAGGGUUCUAAAGGUCUAGCAUUGGAUUUAAGCCAUGCUGGACUUGAAAUAACUGGUCAUAUUAAAAGGGAAGGGAAGAUGUCUUCUGGUUUUGCUCUACACUGUCUUUCAUGUUCUUUUCCUUCCAUUUAUCUUCCAUCUUUUAUUCAUGCAGUUGUGUUUAAAAAUAUAUAAUUUGUUGACUAUUGUUUUGGGGAUGUUGCCAGGUAUGGCUGUGGAUUUAGGGAUUUGAUCUAUUUAAGUACUAUUUAAGUCAAUUGAAUGUAAUGACUCCACUAGCUCUUAAUGGAGAUAAAUUGAAUUCUUUGCAGAGUUUGCAAGGGCUGCCAAAGGUAUCUCAGUGUUUUAAUUUCUGUAUAUUUGUGUAUAAUACUUGGGAGACAAAAUAUUACGAUUUCAAAAUACAAAAUUCUUAUUUUCUUCUAUCUGUUUAGUUAAAAUAUGUAAGGUAUCAACCAUAGCAAACCCUGUUAAGAAAAAGUUGACACAGUCUAAAGUCCAGCUAUUGCCAACAUAGUUUGCCCUCUGCACUGUACUUUAAUGGUCUUUAAUUAUGUGAUAAGAUUUAAAACCAGAUACGCCUCACAUUUUUUUCAUCAACCACAGGUGAUGUGUAAUACUAUUCUCUCUCUGUGUUUGACAGUAGAAGAAAAGAAUGUCCUUGCCUUUAUUACAGUUUUAAUGAAUGCUAGGAAAUUAUAAACCAUUUGCAUUAGUUACUGUGAAUUUAAUGUGUCGUUAAGGUGUCAAGAGAGUUUAGUUGGUCGACUCCAGUGCCUGUGAAUUAAACAGUGAUAAUGAGACAAUUGCUUAGAGUUAAGUUAUGGUAUUAAUUAUUUAGCUGACUUGUGAUUAAUAUAUUACUGAAAAGAAAAAACUUUAUACAUUUGGAAACAAGUUUUAUGUCAGCUUCCAAUGUCAGCUUCCAAUUUACUAACAGUGACUAAAACAAAUAAAUAAUAUAAAUAAUUUCCAAAAAGAAACCUUACAUGUGAUUUCAUACUCUUUUUAGAACAUUGAAGAAAAAAUCAUUGUCUUCUUGAUUGUACAUUUAUUUUGGAGGACUGGUACAAUUAUAAAUACAAGCAAUUGUUAAGUAGCUAAUACUCAAGCCAAGAGGUUGUAUAAGUCUUGAUGAUGAUGAUGAUUAUUAUUAUCAUUACUAUUAUUUAAUUGAUGAAUUGUUUGUAACUGUAAUCACCUUUAAAGAGUACUGUACACAGAAAAGAAAAACCAGGUUGGCUCCAAGUGAAACUGAGGAUUGCAUAUGUGUGGACACAGUGUGGCCAGAACUCUCCUGACCUGGCACUGCAGAAGGUGGCGUUGGACUGCAGUGUUUUGGUCUGUGUAUGUGCAGCUACAGUUGUCCAACAUACCUUUAAUUGUAAAGUUUCCACUUUUGGUGGUGAGAUUCCUGUUUCUGAAAUUUACUGGAGCAUAAUUUCCAAACAGAAGAAGAGGACAUCUCCACAGGCACUCCAGAUGUGUAAUGUCCCUUAUUCAGCAAAUCAGAUGAACAGGUGCUGAAAUGUUGGUUCUUUGAGCAGUUCCAGUGGAGUUAUCACAGAAAAAAUGUGUAUAUUUGCAACUAAAUAAAAGGAAAUAGACAACACCGAAAAAAAC